UACGUAGGGGGGCAAGCGUUGUCCGGAAUCAUUGGGCGUAAAGAGCGCGUAGGCGGCCCUGUAAGUCCGCUGUGAAAGUCAAGGGCUCAACCCUGGGAUGCCGGUGGAUACUGUCGGGCUCGAGUCCGGAAGAGGAGUGUGGAAUUCCUGGUGUAGCGGUGAAAUGCGCAGAUAUCAGGAGGAACACCCGUAGCGAAGGCGGCACUCUGGGCCGAUACUGACACUGAGGAGCGAAAGCGUGGGGAGCGAACAGG
rnacentral:rRNA from 1 species